UCUACAACUCAUUAUAAUACAGAAUCAGUGGGAGCCCUGAGCUUGUUUUCCUGUAAUUUCACGGUCUCAUCUGGGGGUGAUGGGAGACAGUGACAGUUCAUCAGGCAUUAGAUUCUCAAACAGAGCAUGCAACCUAGAUCCUCCACAUCCACAGUUCAAAAUAGGGUUCAUACUCCUAUGAGAAUCUAAUGUUGCUAAAUCACCUCAUUGUGGGUAUUGUUAGUUCACCACCAUUUAGCCUGUUCACACCACUGCUUUCUUUUUGUUCCCUUAGUUCUGGGAAUGCUGGCUGCUUCCUUCAGUUAUUAAGGAAUAUCUGAGGUCUAGUAAGGAAAGACAAUUGUCUGGCUAAUUCAGUUUUUCCCUUUUCUUUCCAGUUUUCCAAUGCCUAUGUACCUAUCCCUGGAAUGAAUUAUGUCUAUUUAAAAUAUCUGGCUUGGCUUUUUUCCCCUCACCAUAAGGUACUUACUGAGGCAAGCUGGAUAGUGCUACCAUCUUGAUCCGAACACAGAGCACACUUUUGGAGCUCGUCUUUGGAAAUGGUCUUGGGAGACUUGCUCCAUUCCUUUGCAUGCCAUCACUGGAUCCAAUGGAGAAAGUGAAAAGUAUAGCCAUCGGGCUGGACUGCAGAGCUGGUUGUCAAGGGUCAUCUACAAGGUCAGAGGUAAGCUGACGUGCAAUGGCAGAAUGGCAUUCACGGUACUACGUAGUUCUCCCUUUUCCCUGAAUUACCGUGGUGCAAUGCAGAGAGUGUGAAGACAUCCAGACUAAAGUGCUAUUCUAAGACCUUUCCACCAAUUCCCUCUCAGAAUCACUCAAAAUAGAGAAAUGAGAAAGUCAUGAACUUCUUUUUUGAUGAAACUAGGAAAACAGGUUACCCCAAAUCACAGUAUAUGAGAAAGGGGUGGCAAUGGCUGUGAAAAUCAAAUAGGAACGUGGAGAGACUGAGAAAGGCUGCUUCAGCUGCUAACGUCAGACAAAUCUGGGGGGACACAGUAGGAUUAUCCCGAAGGCCCAGACCAGCAGCCUCUUGUUUGUAACCACUGGGAAGAGCAUGUAGUCUGACUGCAGACGUAUCUCUGGACCCAUCAUCUGGACCCUGGCAGCGAGAUGAAGGUCAGUAGGCAGAAGUGAAUGAGGAAAUCACCCAAACAUGCCAUAGAUGUAAGAAGCAGCUGGUUGCUAAGAAAGAGUGGUCUGGUGGGCAUGAUGGCUCACACCUAUAAUCCCAGCACUCUGGUAGGCUGAGGUGGCAGGAUCACUUGAGGCCAGGAGUUCAUCAGCCUGGCCAACAUAGCCAAUCCUGUCCCUAUUAAAAAAUACAAAAAUUAGCCAAAUGUGGUGGUGCAUGCCUGUAAUCCCAGGUACCUGGGAGGCUGAGGCAUGAGAAUUGCUUGAACCCAGGAGGUGGAGGUUGCAGUGAGCCGAGAUUAUACCACUGCACUCCAGCCUCAGUGACAAAAUGAGACUCCAACUCAAAAAAACAAACAAAAAAAUGUCAAUCUCUCUUUACCUCUCUCUCACAC
rnacentral:lncRNA from 13 species